UGGGGGAUAUUGCACAAUGGGCGAAAGCCUGAUGCAGCGACGCCGCGUGGGGGAUGAAGGCCUUCGGGUUGUAAACUUCUUUUGCUCUGAACAAGGCAUGCCUUUGGGGUGUGUUGAGUGUAGGGGUUGAUUAGCGCCGGCUAACUACGUGCCAGCAGCCGCGGUAAUACGUAGGGCGCGAGCGUUGUCCGGAAUUAUUGGGCGUAAAGGGCUUGUAGGUGGCUGGUUGCGUCUGUCGUGAAAGCUCAUGGCUUAACUGUGGGUUUGCGGUGGGUACGGGCUGGCUUGAGUGCAGUAGGGGAGGCUGGAAUUCCUGGUGUAGCGGUGGAAUGCGCAGAUAUCAGGAGGAAUACCUGUGGCGAAGGCGGGUCUCUGGGCUGUUACUGACGCUGAGGAGCGAAAGCGUGGGGAGCGAACAGG
rnacentral:rRNA from 1 species